CNNUUGCCUACGGGAGGCAGCAGUGGGGAAUUUUGGACAAUGGGCGAAAGCCUGAUCCAGCCAUGCCGCGUGCAGGAUGAAGGCCUUCGGGUUGUAAACUGCUUUUGUACGGAACGAAAAGCCUCUUUCUAAUAAAGAGGGGUCAUGACGGUACCGUAAGAAUAAGCACCGGCUAACUACGUGCCAGCAGCCGCGGUAAUACGUAGGGUGCAAGCGUUAAUCGGAAUUACUGGGCGUAAAGCGUGCGCAGGCGGUUUUGNAAGACAGAGGUGAAAUCCCCGGGCUCAACCUGGGAACUGCCUUUGUGACUGCAAGGCUGGAGUGCGGCANANGGGGAUGGAAUUCCGCGUGUANNAGUGAAAUGCGUAGAUAUGCGGAGGAACACCGAUGGCGAAGGCNAUCCCCUGGGCCUGCACUGACGCUCAUGCACGAANGCGUGGNGAUUAGAUACCCUGGUNNUCCACGCCCUANGAUNUCNACUGGUUGUUGGGUCUUCACUGANUCNGUAACGAAGCUAACUCGUGAAGUUGACCGCCUG
rnacentral:rRNA from 1 species